rnacentral:tRNA from 1 species
CGCGGGAUAGAGCAGUUUGGUAGCUCGGAAGGCUCAUAACCUCGAGGUCAUGGGUUUAAAUCUCAUUCUCGCAA